rnacentral:rRNA from 1 species
UACAGAGGUCCCGAGCGUUGUUCGGAUUUAUUGGGCGUAAAGGGUGCGUAGGCGGCGGAGUAAGUUGGGUGUGAAAUCCCGGGGCUUAACCUCGGAAUUGCAUUCAAUACUGCUUCGCUCGAGUACUGGAGAGGAGGCUGGAAUUUACAGUGUAGCAGUGAAAUGCGUAGAUAUCGUAAGGAAGGCCGGUGGCGAAAGCGAGCCUCUGGACAGUUACUGACGCUGAUGCACGAAGGCCAGGGGAGCAAACGGG